rnacentral:rRNA from 1 species
GACGAACGCUGGCGGCGUGCUUAACACAUGCAAGUCGAACGGAAAGGCCCUGCUUUUGUGGGGUGCUCGAGUGGCGAACGGGUGAGUAACACGUGAGUAACCUGCCCUUGACUUUGGGAUAACUUCAGGAAACUGGGGCUAAUACCGGAUAGGAGCUCCUGCUGCAUGGUGGGGGUUGGAAAGUUUCGGCGGUUGGGGAUGGACUCGCGGCUUAUCAGCUUGUUGGUGGGGUAGUGGCUUACCAAGGCUUUGACGGGUAGCCGGCCUGAGAGGGUGACCGGCGACAUUGGGACUGAGAUACGGCGCAGACGCGUACGGGAGGCAGCAGUGGGGAACAUUGCACAGUGGGGGGGAGCCUGAUGAAGCAAUGCCGCGUGCGGGAUGACGGCCUUCGGGUUGUAAACCGCUUUCGCCUGUGACGAAGCGUGAGUGACGGUAAUGGGUAAAGAAGCACCGGCUAACUACGUG